AUUGAACGCUGGCGGCAUGCUUUACACAUGCAAGUCGAACGGUAACAGGUUAAGCUGACGAGUGGCGAACGGGUGAGUAAUGCAUCGGAACGUGCCCGGUCGUGGGGGAUAACGCAGCGAAAGCUGCGCUAAUACCGCAUACGAUCUGAGGAUGAAAGCGGGGGACCGGAAGGCCUCGCCCGAUCGGAGCGGCCGAUGUCAGAUUAGGUAGUUGGUGGGGUAAAGGCUCACCAAGCCAACGAUCUGUAGCUGGUCUGAGAGGACGACCAGCCACACUGGGACUGAGACACGGCCCAGACUCCUACGGGAGGCAGCAGUGGGGAAUUUUGGACAAUGGGCGAAAGCCUGAUCCAGCAAUGCCGCGUGCAGGAAGAAGGCCUUCGGGUUGUAAACUGCUUUUGUACGGAGCGAAAAGGUCUCCUCUAAUACAGGGGGCUCAUGACGGUACCGUAAGAAUAAGCACCGGCUAACUACGUGCCAGCCGCCGCAGUAA
rnacentral:rRNA from 1 species